rnacentral:rRNA from 1 species
GGGUUGUGAGGUUAAGCGACUAAGCGUACACGGUGGAUGCCCUGGCAGUCAGAGGCGAUGAAGGGCGUGCUAAUCUGCGAUAAGCGCCGGUAAGGUGAUAUGAACCGUUAUAACCGGCGAUACCCGAAUGGGGAAACCCAGUGUGAUUCGUCACACUAUCAUUAACUGAAUCCAUAGGUUAAUGAGGCGAACCGGGGGAACUGAAACAUCUAAGUACCCCGAGGAAAAGAAAUCAACCGAGAUUCCCCCAGUAGCGGCGAGCGAACGGGGAGGAGCCCAGAGCCUGAAUCAGCAUGUGUGUUAGUGGAAGCGUCUGGAAAGGCGCGCGAUACAGGGUGACAGCCCCGUACACAAAAGCGUAUGUGCUGUGAGCUCGAUGAGUAGGGCGGGACACGUGGUAUCCUGUCUGAAUAUGGGGGGACCAUCCUCCAAGGCUAAAUACUCCUGACUGACCGAUAGUG